rnacentral:rRNA from 1 species
CCUACGGGUGGCUGCAGUGGGGAAUAUUGGACAAUGGGGGAAACCCUGAUCCAGCAAUGCCGCGUGUGUGAAGAAGGCCUGCGGGUUGUAAAGCACUUUCGGUUGGGAAGAAAAGUUUGGCGCCAAUACCGCCGAACAUUGACGUUACUGACAGAAGAAGCACCGGCUAACUCUGUGCCAGCAGCCGCGGUAAUACAGAGGGUGCCAGCGUUAGUCGGGAUCACUGGGGUUGAAAUGCAAGUCGGGUGUGAAAUCCCCGGGCUUAACCUGGGAACUGCAUGCGAUACUACAUGGCUAGAGUAUGGUAGAGGGAAGUGGAAUUUCCGGUGUAGCGGUGAAAUGCGUAGAUAUCGGAAGGAACACCAAUGGCGAAGGCAGCUUCCUGGACUAAUACUGACACUGAGGCACGAAAGCGUGGGUAGCAAACAGGAUUAGAUACCCGUGUAGUC